rnacentral:rRNA from 1 species
CCUACGGGGGGCAGCAGUGGGGAAUAUUGGACAAUGGGGGGAACCCUGAUCCAGCCAUGCCGCGUGUGUGAAGAAGGCCCUCGGGUUGUAAAGCACUUUCAGUGAGGAAGAACGCCUGGUGGUUAAUACCCAUCAGGAAAGACAUCACUCACAGAAGAAGCACCGGCUAACUCCGUGCCAGCAGCCGCGGUAAUACGGAGGGUGCGAGCGUUAAUCGGAAUUACUGGGCGUAAAGCGCGCGUAGGUGGCUUGAUAAGCCGGUUGUGAAAGCCCCGGGCUCAACCUGGGAACGGCAUCCGGAACUGUCAAGCUAGAGUGCAGGAGAGGAAGGUAGAAUUCCCGGUGUAGCGGUGAAAUGCGUAGAGAUCGGGAGGAAUACCAGUGGCGAAGGCGGCCUUCUGGACUGACACUGACACUGCGGUGCGAAAGCGUGGGUAGCAAACAGGAUUAGAUACCCGUGUAGUC